UUGAAAAAUUUAUGUAACUAAUAGAUGGUGCAUGAUACUUUCUACUUAGGAAUCUUGUUAGGUUUAGAAACUCUCCUUUAAAAAAAAGGCUGAGUUUCAGAUUGAAAACUGAAGGGACAGCCUUUGAAUGAUGUCUCUUUAGAAAAAUUUCCUGUCUCUUUAGAUUGUAAUGAAAGGCCAAGUGCCAGGUUUUAUCUGAUGGGUCUGAGUUAUAUUGUACAGUUUACGUUUGGCCUAAUUUCUGUUUAAGUGGGCAGGGAGUGGAAGUGGGGUCAAUCUACUUAAACUUUUCCUCUUAGUUCCAGCUUUACAUGUGGUUUGGCUGGGGCUCUGGCCUCCAACCCGGUUGAUGUGGUUCGAACUCGCAUGAUGAACCAGAGGGCAAUCGUGGGACAUGUGGAUCUCUAUAAGGGCACUGUUGAUGGUAUUUUAAAGAUGUGGAAACAUGAGGGCUUUUUUGCACUCUAUAAAGGAUUUUGGCCAAACUGGCUUCGGCUUGGACCCUGGAACAUCAUUUUUUUUAUUACAUACGAGCAGCUAAAGAGGCUUCAAAUCUAAGAACUGAAUUAUAUGUGAGCCCAGCCCUGCCAGCCUUUCUACUCCUUUUCCCUUUUCCCGUGUUCUAAUGUAUUUUGACAAUGUUGUAAGUGUUUACCAAGCCGUUGGUCUCCUAAGGGCCUCCUGAUGGAAGAACAGUGGGGUGGUCCAAAGUUAUUUCUAUGUUUGUGUUACCAUGUUAACUUUUCCCCGAGAGAAAGUGUUAACAUUGAGACUCUGGCCCCAGAUUGGUAUCUUCUAUGAAGAUGGAUACUGAUGGGUGAUGUUGAAAAUGGCCUGCUUUCCAAAUGUGGUUAAAUGUAAUUGGUUAGCCCCAGACUUGGGCUAGAGCAGAAGGCAUAGGCCAGGGUGGUUAUUGCUAUAU
rnacentral:sRNA from 1 species